CGGGCGGCUAGCGUACACAUGCAAGUCGAGCGGAACGAUGGAGCUUGCUCCAGGCGUCGAGCGGCGGACGGGUGAGUAAUGCAUAGGAAUCUGCCCGGUAGUGGGGGAUAACCUGGGGAAACUCAGGCUAAUACCGCAUACGCCCUACGGGGGAAAGCAGGGGCUCUUCGGACCUUGCGCUAUCGGAUGAGCCUAUGUCGGAUUAGCUAGUUGGUGAGGUAAUGGCUCACCAAGGCGACGAUCCGUAGCUGGUCUGAGAGGAUGAUCAGCCACAUCGGGACUGAGACACGGCCCGAACUCCUACGGGAGGCAGCAGUGGGGAAUAUUGGACAAUGGGCGAAAGCCUGAUCCAGCCAUGCCGCGUGUGUGAAGAAGGCUUUCGGGUUGUAAAGCACUUUCAGUGAGGAAGAACGCCUUGGGGCUAAUACCCCCGAGGGAAGACAUCACUCACAGAAGAAGCACCGGCUAACUCCGUGCCAGCAGCCGCGGUAAUACGGAGGGUGCAAGCGUUAAUCGGAAUUACUGGGCGUAAAGCGCGCGUAGGCGGCGUGAUAAGCCGGUUGUGAAAGCCCCGGGCUCAACCUGGGAACGGCAUCCGGAACUGUCA
rnacentral:rRNA from 1 species